AUGAACGCUGGCGGCGUGCCUCAUACCUGCCAGUCGAGCGAACAGAUCAGGAGCUUGCUCCUUUGACGUUAGCGGCGGACGGGUGAGUAACACGUGGGUAACCUACCUAUAAGACUGGGAUAACUUCGGGAAACCGGAGCUAAUACCGGAUAACAUUUGGAACCGCAUGGUUCUAAAGUGAAAGAUGGUUUUGCUAUCACUUAUAGAUGGACCCGCGCCGUAUUAGCUAGUUGGUAAGGUAACGGCUUACCAAGGCAACGAUACGUAGCCGACCUGAGAGGGUGAUCGGCCACACUGGAACUGAGACACGGUCCAGACUCCUACGGGAGGCAGCAGUAGGGAAUCUUCCGCAAUGGGCGAAAGCCUGACGGAGCAACGCCGCGUGAGUGAUGAAGGGUUUCGGCUCGUAAAACUCUGUUAUUAGGGAAGAACAAAUGUGUAAGUAACUGUGCACGUCUUGACGGUACCUAAUCAGAAAGCCACGGCUAACUACGUG
rnacentral:rRNA from 1 species